ACCAGCGUCUCCCACCACUAAACUGAGAGCGCAGGCAGGGAGCGGCGGUUUGCCCAGCCUGGCGGACCGUUGUGUUGGAACGUUGAAGGUACACUAGUUUCUCACCGGCUUUAGGACUCAUUCCAACAUGGAGAACAAAAAGGAUUUCUAGCCAUCACCGAGUGGCAGAGAGCAGCAAGAAAGAAAAUCUAGUAAAUGGCCUCCCAAUUUGCUGCCUCCAUGCCUGUUGUCCAAAAUGGAGAGGCAACACCUCUAACAGAAUUGUUUAGCAACCUAGUUCAAUCUUUCCUGUCUGUGACUACUGCUUUUUGGGGCACAGAGCUGACAGACUUUAUGGAACAACUAUAUCAUCUCCUUCAUCGUCAAUUGUGGAAGAGGAAGCAGAGACUUGGACAUUGAGAAGUUUUACUUUUUACCCAUGCGAACACCAUUUUCUGAGACUAAUAGAAAAAGUAUCUAAAGUUGUCCUGAAGAAUACCUCAGGAUGAAUAGGAUUUGGAAGAUUAUUCCUCAUGCCUUGGAAACUGUUAGAAAUAUACAGCAGCUUUGGAGCUCAUGCUGCAUGGAUAGUUGGCUCGUAUGUCCUGGUGAUGAAAUAUAUUCCCAAACGUUACUUGAGCAAAAUUCAAUGAAAAAUCAUUGGGAUAUUUCCUUUGAUAAAAGGAGUAGAAAAGACAGUAUCACUGGCAAUCAAGAAUUACACAUUAAAAAAAAGGCUAUUCAACUUCCAAUUGAUGUUGGAAGGCAUUGCAAUGUCAACGUGGAAAUCAAGAGUGUGGUGCUGGAAAAGCACAGAAGGUCAGGCAGCAUUCAAGGAGCAGGAGAAUCGAUGUUUCGGGCAUAAGCCCUUCUUCAGGAAUGAAAAUGGAAAUGCCAAGUGACCCUUGGUCCAGGAGCUAGGCCGCUGGUGUCAAUUCUAUUCACACUUUUCCAAGUUUUCAUGUUCUUUCUCAUCAUCCUCUUGCACUUCUUGUUGUCAAGCAGCCCCCGGUCAUCGCUCCCGCUCUUCCUGCUGCUCACAAAAGUGGAGGGCCCUGAUGGUCGAGAGGAGGAAGGACACCACUUCGACUGGGACAACACACACGU